rnacentral:lncRNA from 1 species
AACAAAGAACAAAGAAGAACAAAGGGAGAAAAGAAAUACAAAAACCUAGGUGAAGAAUUUCAAGAGAAAAGUGUGGGAAAUUCAAGGAAACAAAUGACAAAAGGUAAAAUUUCUUGAUUUUGACUUGUGAUAUACCUUUCCCAUGCAUUUCUCCUCAUUUUUCAUGGUUAAAUUACAUAUUUUCAUGAUGAAUUCAUGGCUGGUCGGAAUGGGUAUGGAGAGAGAAUGAUGUUGGAUUGGUUUGAUUCUAAGUUAUGUUAGUGUUUUUUGUUAGUUUACCAUGUCUAGAAACAAAACAACAAGAAAAGAAUUUAUUUUUCCCACCACCCAUUAAUGGCCGAACCUACCUUGUGUUGAGUGAGGAUGAAUUUGAUUUUUAUUUUAAGAGAAUUGGUUAGAAAAUGAUGAAUUAUGGUGUGGAAAAGUAGUAGGAAAAAUCACGGUGUUAAUGCACCAUUAUUGACUGAAAAUUCUAAGAAGAAAAGUGAAGAUAGCUUUGCCAAACUUUAGGUUAUUUGACUUAAGUUUGGUGAAUUAAGAUAUUGGAAAAGAAAUGGAGCAAUUUGGAGCUAAAUUGGACGCAUUGGCCAAUUAAUAUGGUGAUAAGUCGAAUUAGGCCAAUACCGGGGAUUAGAUGGUUACUAGUGCAUUUUGCAUUCCAUAUCAUGCAUUAGUAGUCUAAAUUAGUUUAAAUUCAAUUUAGUACUAAUGAAGUAAGUUUCUCGAUUUUGUAUUGUGUUAAGGUGGUGAGUCCUCCUAUAAAGGCAAGGAAAUUGCACCCAAGGACCAGUAAUCUGAGUACUUCGAAAAUCCCCAUUCUAGACAUUGUGAGUAACCUUAUCAUCAUUUUAAUUAUCAAAAGUAUGUUUUAACUUGGUUUUGGUGAAAUUUUAUGAAAAUGAAUUAAAUGGAAAAUUUUAGGUUUUAUAAACAAAAAUGUGUUUAAAUGAAAAGAUUUUAUAAAUUGUUUUGAAACGAAAUAACGAUUUUAAAAAUAGAGUAAUUGGAGACCAUCGGUAUGUUGUAAAUUUAUGAUUGGAAAUUGAUGGCUUAUGUUAUAUUGUUAUUGUAUUGGUAUGAUUGGCUGGGCUGUGUUUUAUGAAUUGUAUGAAUUGUUUUAUUUUACCUUUGCAGGCUAGGUAGUAAAAUAUUAUCCCUGUCAUGCUGUCAAAAUUUUAUUGUAUGGUGGGUUUAGCUUGCUGCAGUAGGCAAAUUCUGUGGACCAGCCUAUUAGAGGGGCAUGGAAUUUGGAUAUAUAUAUAUAUGUACCUCGGUCGGAGAGGCGCGUAGGGUAUCUCCUGAGGUAUGGUUAGAGUUUACGUCAUGCCGAACCGCUCGUGAUGAUGAACUCUGCUAAUGCCAAGGAACGACUGUGUUUUUCAAACUAAUAAUUUGUUUACGUGUAUACGAAAUUUUUAACAGCCUUGGCGAACUCGGUUAGAUGCCUCGACCAAGGUAUCCCCGAGAAUGAUUUUGGCAGGAGCCAAGCUUUUAAAAUACUCAUAAGCCAUGUUGAUUAUUUAAAUGAAAUGAGUAUUUAUGUUAUGAAAAACAUAUUUAGAUGAAAUGUUUUAAUAGUCUCCUUUUACUCGACUUUAGAUCUUUUGAACAAUGUUUGUUUACUCACUAGGAUUAUAAAAUCUCACCACUCUCCUUUCUAACCAUUUCAGGUUCAGAAUAGGCUGUAGAUAACUGAUCUCAUCGAGGACUACCGUUGGAAUUGCAUUUUCUAAACUGUAGGUUCACAGUCCUCUUUACUUUUGUUUAUUCGGGGGCCACUUGUUAUUGUAAAUUAAAUUAAAUGCUCUGACUUACU